CUGCUGGCACACCCUUAUUUAUCUCUUACCUUGAGCCAAAGAUAUUGUGCUAUUCUGAGAGAAAUUUUCCAAAGGAGCUGCAGCGUCUCCUUGAGAUGAUGGAUCCUGGUAAAAAGAUUCCUUUGUUCACUUGGUUAUGCACAAAGCAUCAUCCGUUUCCUCCUAAUAGGUUUUUCUUCUAAGUAAAUGUCUUUUAACAAUGAGAAUUAGAAACAAAUUAUAUUCAGCUAUUCAGACCUUGCAAGGAAAGCACAAGGACUGUCAGCCUUAUGCCUUUGCCUUUUUCCUUUUUUGAUAGGCAGGCUACAGGACAAAUGCUGCACUGUGCCCUCUGCUCCCAAGUACAUGAAUGGGAAGGACAAAGAAGAACAAAACUUUGGGAAAGAGUUUCUUUCCAUCAUUAAAUAUUUACCAUUUCAGCUCCAGAUUCAGGAAAGGUGAGGAGUGACUUUAGUGUGAAGGAGUGUCCUGGUCUCCAGGCAUGGUCAACCCACAACAGAGUUGUUGUCUGGGAAAUGUAAUGCAACAUAUUCCUGCACAGACCCAUUUUCUGACUCCACUUUCCCCAUAUUUAAAAUUAAAACUCUGGAGAGAAGAAUAUGAAUUGAUUUUGUGAAAUUGUUUUGUGUUAUGUUAAUUUAAAAUGAUCAGCUAGCACAGCAGUAAUGAUCACAGAGGAUUGGUCUUUUGAAACAAAGAUAACAUAUCAUU